UACGUAGGGGGCAAGCGUUGUCCGGAAUCAUUGGGCGUAAAGAGCGCGUAGGCGGCCCAGUAAGUCCGCUCUGAAAGUCAGGGGCUCAACCCCUGGAUGCGGGUGGAUACUGCUGGGCUAGAGUCCGGAAGAGGUGAGUGGAAUUCCUGGUGUAGCGGUGAAAUGCGCAGAUAUCAGGAGGAACACCGAUGGCGAAGGCAGGUCGCUGGGCCACUACUGACGCUGAGAAGCGAAAGCAUGGGGAGCGAACAGG
rnacentral:rRNA from 1 species